UUUUUUUUUUUACUAUUGUUUUGUAACUUUUAUGUUCUCACAAGAUGGAAAUAAAUAAUAAAUACAAUUGAC
rnacentral:ribozyme from 13 species